CUUUAGCUCAGAGGCACAUCUGAUGAUGCCACUAAAAUCCAACGGUAGCUUCUCACUGUCUGCCACGAUGCCCUACUCCUUGACAACUCCCGGCUCUGCCCCACAACAACAUGCCAGGGACCCUUGUUUAGUGUCAUGACUUCUCUGAGCACACCGUUCAGAAGGUCCCCACCAAUGUCAAUUCUUCAGCACCAGAAAGAAGCAUAUUUCCAGGAAAGGCAGCCAUCACCCUCCUUCUCCACAUUUGUGGGCUCUGAAGAUGACCUGCCCCUGCCAAUUUCUCCCUGCAUCCUGUCAUCUCCCACAUGUCUGCUGCACUGCCCUGGGACCUGCCUUUUCCAGACUUACAAGCUCAAGCAAAAUUUAGAGAGGACAAAAUCUAAACUCUGAAGAUCCUGCUGGACCCUAGGCCCUGGGAUUCCAACGUAUCCAGGUGGACACCCCACAGACUCAGACUCCAGACCAGAAGAUGCAACAAGCAAGAGGAUUUUAUUCCGCAUUUGCGCAAAUGGGCUCCUCAGCCAGGGAAGGCAGAAAAAGGCCCGAUCAGCUAUUGCAAGCUCCUUUUAAAGGCAAAAACUACAAGAUUAUAAGACAUGAGUCCAUUUUUGAUUGGACAAAGAAAAGGUCACAUACGGUGAUUUUUGGGGGAAAUUCCAAUUUGGUAGGGUUCGGGGAAGUGGGGGUCCUCUGUCUUCCUGGAGUGAUCGCAGGAUGUCCUGUUUGUUCUUAUCUCAAGGAACAUCUGGGUGCUUGUUGGUUUAAACCUUACUUCCUUAGCUUGUUUUUGAGCGAGGGGUCCUUCAAUCCUAAGUAGUGAGUUCAAGGAGCCGGCCACUGAUAGAAGAUGGGGCUGGCUAGAGCCUGCACUGGCAGUUGCAUGCACAAUGUGGUUUUUUGUUGUUGUUGUUGUUGUUGGUGGUGGUGGUGGGUUUGUUUUUUGAGACAGGGUUUCUCUGUAUUGUUUUGGAGCCUGUCCUGGAACUCACUUGGUAGACCAGGCUGGCCUUGAAUGCACAGAGAUCUGCCCGCCUCUGCCUCCCGAGUGCUGGGAUUAAAGGCGAGCGCCACCAAUGCCCAGCGCGUGGUGUGUUUUGGAAUGUGCCUUUCCAGAGAAACUGAACAAGGAGGCAUCAUGGUGCCCUUGAUUGAGUCCUUGGAUGGCAAAGAGAGGGCUCUCAUCUGCUACGUAAUAGCCAAGAGGCCUUGGACAAGCCAUCUUCCUCCUUGGACCUUCUGUCACGUCUUCAUAAGGUUCCCAAAUGAUAAUAGAUGAGCAUUUCUCAACAUUUCUUCCUCUGGUGACAUACGGCACAGUCCCCUGGCUGUCUCAUGAUCAUGCCAGAAUUUGUGGCAAUCUUACGGGGCACCAAGCUGGGGCUUCCAGCUCCCCUUCCUCUUUUAAAACCCACAUCCUCAUUUGAAGGCCAUAACAGUAUGAGGAAAGAGACCAUGGGUGCUUUUUAGCUUUAACACUCUCCGACCCUAAACACAAACGGAUAGAUUUGUAGUUGUCUGUUUCUGCAUGUGGGUGUGUCCCAGCCAGCCCCCCUCAAACAAUUCUGCCAGACAGAAUUGAAUUGAGUGACUUAAACAUCACCCCCUCUAUUCCUCUCUCUUAUUCUGACCUUUUGCGUCCUGUCCCCUCCCACCUUUUUCUUAGUCCAAGAGGUUGGGCAGCAGGGCAGGAGCCCUCUGUGGAGCACGGAGACUCAUAGCUUUAAUCCACCUGCAUGUGAAGCCCUUCCAGCCCUGGGGGCUGUGAGCCAGCCUGGUGACAGACCCAAAGGUCGGCUUUCCUUCCUCCUUUCAGCAAUCCGCAAACAAGAAUGUCCCGCAGAGGGCCAAAGCCAGAUCCCCUUACACAGGGCGUAGUGGGUUCUUUGUUUCUCUCCUCCCUAUAUUUUGGAAGCUCCAGCAGGAAUGUGGCCUGAAUUUAAACACAGGGAGGCAUGGCCAUUAACAGUGAGCACUUUUGUAGAUUCAGGCAGCCUCUUCUGCCUUCUCUCUCCCUUGGCCUUGAAUGAUCUGCUGUUUGCAGACAAUCCCCUUGUUGUGCUCCAGAGAGCAGGCAGAGCCUAGCUCCCCCAUUGUCUCUUAUCUGGGCAAACAAAAGCAGGCUUCUGAGGGACAGAGCUCUGCACCGAUAAAGGGCUGAUUAAAGCCCCCUUUGUGGUAAAAUUUCAUAGGUCUGGGUUGGGCAUUAUAUUUGAUUAACCCCAGCCAGUUAUUACAUGGUGUUUGAUAGAGAUUACAGCUGUGCCCAGCGACUCUCAGCUGGGCGGAGCCGGUCUUUGAACUCCUAGGGAACCAUGGGUUGAACCAACCACGAGCAAGUGGACCUUGGUGAAUCUCUUCCUGGGCUCUCCCCGCUCCCUUUCAGCGGCCAGUAGUCAGUAUUGCUUCCUCCCAGGGAAGCAUCCAGUACGGUCCAGUUAGUGCAUUCUUUCUGACAGGCAGGAAGACAUCCAGUGAACUGCAUCUCACAGCGCAUGCCAGCGGACAGCUCUUUCUUGGAGCAGCUUGGAACAGGCGUGGUGGGCCUUAAAGGGGUGAUACUCUCACGGUGUCCUCAGCUCAGAACCUCUGUUUCCCAUGACUGGUUUCUCCCUGGCCCUCUUGAACACGCACUCAGGGUCAUUAUCAGACGAGCACCUGGGACAGUCUGAUGAUCUGAUGACCAAGAGUCUCUUGCACCCCUCAAACUUCAGCCUCCAUUCUAGAGUCAACCAGGAAGGGCCUGGCAUCUCACUGGCCCCUGAAGAUUAGCUGCGCGGAGGAUGCGUGGUCCUCUGCCAGACUGGACAGACUCAGCAUGUCUUUUGUCUAAGGACUGAGUUUCCCUAUCUACAGCAAGGAGUGCUAGGAAUGAAAUUCUUGAGGCAAACCCUGCAAGAAAGACUCAGCGGAGGCAACGAGCUUCAUGUCAGCACCGAUGCCUGUUAGUCUGGCUGGAAAAGGGACUCUGCAGCUGGUCGCGAGGGCCAUCUGCCUCUCUCCAGAAAGGUCCGAGUGGGUUGUGUGGGGGAAAGCCUAAUGUGGGAUCCACACGCCGCAUUAGAUGCAGCUGCCCUAGGCUUGGUCACGCCUGAGUUUGCACCCUGGACCCUCGAAAGCUCUGUGCAUUAUGGUAAUUAGCCAUCUGCUUCUGUCUCUCCAGGCUGCUCACAAAAGGAAGACAGGAAGCUCCGUGUCAAUAGCAGAAAUUGAGGUGGGGUCCCUGGCUUCGCCCCCGUCCCUCGUGGUACAGAGUAAGCUCUAAGCCUCAGAGUCUAACUGCCAUAGCCCUGAGCACGCUUCCCAGCUCUCAGCAUAGCCUCCCCGCUCUUGGCAUCACUCCCUGUGGAUGAACAAAAAAGUUCCCCGCCAACCACCUACAGAGUCUGCACAGACUGUGAGCGUGCCUUUGCUCUCUUGGUGGAGACUAAAUCACCGUUUGUUUGAGAAAUGCCUUUGCCUUUGGGGACUAAGUAACUAGACAUAGCAUAAGUGACGUUCCCUCCCUUAUCAGUUAUUACCAAGAUUCUAAGAUUGCUCUUACAUGUCUCAAUAUAUUAGCCUUAAAAGUAGCUGAUUAUAGUAGGAAAUAUUUAGAUCUUACAACCAUUUUCUGGCAUAGAGCUAUCACAGCCGAUGCACAGUUACAUAGUUGUGUACUACCAAGAUCUAUAAAUAUCCGUUGGAAGAAAUCGUGUCAUAUAUAGUCAUAAUUCUAAAGAUAACAACCUUCA